UUGCAGAUGAAAAUACUUUUCACGUUUAUUGCUUUCACAAACAGUAUCGUGUCUUCAUAAACAUGUUCCUACGAGUUCAUCUUUAUAAAUUUCUUGGAAAAAAGUUUAAGAAUUUCUAACGUUAAAUAUUAUAUAUAUAUAUAUAUAUUAAAAUAUU